GGUGAGUGGGGGCCAGGAGCCGGGGGAAAGAGGGUGGGUGAGGCGGUGUUCGGAAAUACGGAGCGUAAAGGGGGCGUGGGCUGCCUUGGAAGUGUGACGGGAGAGCCCCGGGGUCAAGCCGGGAACGGGGUCCGAUACUGGAAGGGUUGAAUCCGGGAGAGGGAUGCGGAAUUCCAGGUGGAGCGGUGAAAUGCGGAGAUAUCUGGAGGAACACCGGUGGCGAAGGCGGCAUCCUGGACCGGCAUUGACGCUGAGGCGCGAAAGCCAGGGGAGCAAACGGGAUUAGAUACCCGAGUAGUC
rnacentral:rRNA from 1 species